rnacentral:pre_miRNA from 1 species
CAACUACUCCCUCCGUCCCAAAAUUCUUGUCUUAGAUUUGUCUAGAUAAGGAUGUAUCUAAUACUAAAAUGUGACUGGAUACAUCCAUAUCUAGACAAAUCUAAGACAAGAAUUUCGGGACGGAGGGAGCACUUU